rnacentral:rRNA from 1 species
UACGUAGGGUGCAAGCGUUAAUCGGAAUUACUGGGCGUAAAGGCGUGCGCAGGCGGCUAUGCAAGACAGAUGUGAAAUCCCCGGGCUCACCUGGGAACUGCAUUUGUGACUGCAUGGCUAGAGUACGGUAGAGGGGGAUGGAAUUCCGCGUGUAGCAGUGAAAGCGUAGAGAUGCGGAGGAACACCGAUGGCGAAGGCAGCCCCCUGGGCUAA